UAGGGAAUCUUCGGCAAUGGACGGAAGUCUGACCGAGCAACGCCGCGUGAGUGAAGAAGGUUUUCGGAUCGUAAAGCUCUGUUGUAAGAGAAGAACGAGUGUGAGAGUGGAAAGUUCACACUGUGACGGUAACUUACCAGAAAGGGACGGCUAACUACGUGCCAGCAGCCGCGGUAAUACGUAGGUCCCGAGCGUUAUCCGGAUUUAUUGGGCGUAAAGCGAGCGCAGGCGGUUAGAUAAGUCUGAAGUUAAAGGCUGUGGCUUAACCAUAGUACGCUUUGGAAACUGUUUAACUUGAGUGCAGAAGGGGAGAGUGGAAUUCCAUGUGUAGCGGUGAAAUGCGUAGAUAUAUGGAGGAACACCGGUGGCGAAAGCGGCUCUCUGGUCUGUAACUGACGCUGAGGCUCGAAAGCGUGGGGAGCAAACAGGAUUAGAUACCCUGGUAGUCCACGCCGUAAACGAUGAGUGCUAGGUGUUGGAUCCUUUCCGGGAUUCAGUGCCGCAGCUAACGCAUUAAGCACUCCGCCUGGGGAGUACGACCGCAAGGUUG
rnacentral:rRNA from 1 species